CUGCCCUACCCUGGAAUGGGGAAAAUGCGGACAUGCCACUCAGUCCGGCCGCGAACAGUGCUCCAGAACUCAGAGAGUUUUCCAGACGGGUGGAGAUCGCGUUCCCUGCCCGCCGAGGUCCCAUCGCUUCCCUGCUGGGAAGACAAAUGAGGCGCUUUAGCCGUCUCCACGGCCAGCCCCUCCCUCAUAACCCGAGAUUCUUUGUGGGCUCUUAGUCCAUAGCUGCCUUUGAGGUGGUGUAGACCUUGCUAACCAGGACGGCCCAGUAGGCAGAGCUCAUUUUUAUUCCUGUCUGCAAUCGUGCAAAAACGCCUCUUAUGGAAAAGCCAGAGCGCCAGGAGUCAGCAAAACACACUAAAGAUUGGGCAGUCACUGGGGAGAACAUGGCCUGAAGCAACUGAAGAUCCACAAAAGAAGUGAAAAUAGCCUUAACUGAUGACAUUCCACCAUUGAGAUUUGUUCCUGCCCCACCCUAACUGAUACGAUAUAUUCUCCCCCGCCCUUAAGAAGACUCAGCCCGCCUGCACCCAGGUGAAAUAUACAGCCUUGUUGCUCACACAAAGCCUGUUUGGUGGUUUCUUCACACGGAUGCAUGUGACAUUUGGUGCUGAAGACCCAGGACAGGAGGACUCCUUUGGGAGACCAGUGCCCUGUUGUCGCCCUCACUCCGUGAGGAGAUCCACCUAUGAUCUCAGGUCCUCAGACCAACCAGCCCAAGGAACAUCUUGCCAAUUUCAAAUCGGGCUGGUGCCUGGCCUUCCUGGAAUGAGUGGGUGUUCUGACAGGCCCCCAGUUUGUCCCAUCUGCACCGCCAAGAGGUCUCCGGGUGGCCAGAGGAGCAAAGUUGCCUUCCAAGUGCCUGUUGGUGCCUGGGAGAACACAGCAGGAGUGUCGUGCGGCCCACAGCGCAGUGCAUGGUGAUUCCAGGCGCUGAACAACUCCCCUUGACCCUUGGGCCUGCAUCUGACUCCCGGCUGCAGAAUCAGAAGCUGAGUCCAGGCAACCGCUCGGCCACUCCCGGUCACUCCUCUCUGGACACCCAGUUACUAAAGUCAGCAAAGAAGAUGCGGUAAUCACCGCCUGAUCUCCACAUGGUGAACACAACACUCUCACUAACACCUCCUUGACCAGUCAGUCUUCAGCACUGGGGGUGGACAGGCAGGUUUUCUGUGUUUACCAGAAUCGCACAGGCUAAGCACAAACAUGGAACCAGAGUUCCAGGUGAGGAAACCUCACUCGCAGAAGCCCAGGCUGCACCCCACCAGGUGAUGCAGUGCGCCUAGGCUGUGGGUGCUAGGAGCCAAGUGCUAGGGACUCGUCAUGAGUGGGAAUCCCCACGUUCCUGUCACUGCUGUCAAACAGAAGGUAAACAGUCUUACGAAUGUAAUUCCUUAGGAAGACUUGUACAAACUUUUAUUAGGAUAUCUAUUUAUUUAAUACUGAACUUUGGCCUACUUUGUGAUAAGACUAUAAACAAAUUGAGGAAAUCACUAUUUCUCACUUCUGUAUUUCUCAAAAAAUAAUUUUGUUACAGAGUUCAAUAUACUGUGUACUACUGAUCUUCUAUUGUGAAAGCAAAGCAUUUCAUCAAAACAAAGUAUUUUAAAUUAUGAGUGAAAA
ensembl:lncRNA OLMALINC oligodendrocyte maturation-associated long intergenic non-coding RNA